rnacentral:rRNA from 1 species
GGACAGGUGGUGGCAUGGUUGUCGUCAGCUCGUGUCGUGAGAUGUGGUUAGUCCGCAACGAGCGCAACCCUACGUUAGUUGCUAACGCGUGAAGGCGAGCACUCUAGACGAACUGCCGUUGACAAAACGGAGGAAGGUGGGGAUGACGUCAAAUCAUCAUGCCCCUUAUGUUCUGGGCUACACACGUGCUACAAUGGCCGGUACAGACGGACGCAAAGCCGCGAGGCGGAGCAAAUCCGAAAAAGCCGGUCUCAGUUCGGAUUGCAGGCUGCAAUUCGCCUGCAUGAAGUCGGAAUCGCUAGUAAUCGCAGGUCAGCAUACUGCGGUGAAUACGUUCCCGGGCCUU